CCUACGGGUGGCUGCAGUGAGGAAUAUUGGUCAAUGGGCGGGAGCCUGAACCAGCCAAGUCGCGUGAGGGAAGACGGUCCUAUGGAUUGUAAACCUCUUUAGGCGGGGAGCAAUGCCGGGCACGCGUGCCCGGAGGGAGAGUACCCGCAGAAUAAGCAUCGGCUAACUCCGUGCCAGCAGGCGCGGUAAUACGGGGGAUGCGAGCGUUAGCCGGAUUUAUUGGGUUUAAAGGGUGCGUAGGCGGAUUUUUAAGUCAGCGGUAAAAUGUCCGGGCUCAACCCGGGCCGGCCGUUGAAACUGGCAGUCUUGAGUACAGUAGAGGUGGGCGGAAGUCGUGGUGUAGCGGUGAAAUGCUUAGAUAUCACGAAGAACUCCGAUUGCGAAGGCAGUUCACUGGACUGCAACUGACACUGAGGCUCGAAAGUGUGGGUAUCAAACAGGAUUAGAUACCCGAGUAGUC
rnacentral:rRNA from 1 species